GCUGGCGGCGUGCCUAAUACAUGCAAGUCGAGCGCAGGAAACAAGUAGAUCCCUUCGGGGUGACGCUUGUGGAAUGAGCGGCGGACGGGUGAGUAACACGUGGGCAACCUACCUUGUAGACUGGGAUAACUCCGGGAAACCGGAGCUAAUACGGGACGAUCAUUUGAAUCGCAUGAUUGAAAUGUAAAAGUGGGGAGUAAUCCUCACACUAUGAGAUGGGCCCGCGGCGCAUUAGCUAGUUGGUAAGGUAAUGGCUUACCAAGGCAACGAUGCGUAGCCGACCUGAGAGGGUGAUCGGCCACACUGGAACUGAGACACGGUCCAGACUCCUACGGGAGGCAGCAGUAGGGAAUCAUCCGCAAUGGGCGAAAGCCUGACGGUGCAACGCCGCGUGAACGAUGAAGGUUUUCGGAUCGUAAAGUUCUGUUAUGAGGGAAGAACAAGUGCCGUUCGAAUAGGGCGGCACCUUGACGGUACCUCACGAGAAAGCCCCGGCUAACUACGUG
rnacentral:rRNA from 1 species